rnacentral:rRNA from 1 species
CCUACGGGAGGCAGCAGUGGGGAAUAUUGGACAAUGGGCGAAAGCCUGAUCCAGCAAUGCCGCGUGAGUGAUGAAGGCCUUCGGGUCGUAAAGCUCUUUUACCAGGGAUGAUAAUGACAAUACCUGGAGAAUAAGCUCCGGCUAACUCCGUGCCAGCAGCCGCGGUAAUACGGAGGGAGCUAGCGUUGUUCGGAAUUACUGGGCGUAAAGAGUACGUAGGCGGUUAUUCAAGUCAGAGGUGAAAGCCCGGGGCUCAACCCCGGAACUGCCUUUGAAACUAGAUAGCUAGAGUCUUGGAGAGGUUAGUGGAAUUCCGAGUGUAGAGGUGAAAUUCGUAGAUAUUCGGAAGAACACCAGUGGCGAAGGCGACUAACUGGACAAGUACUGACGCUGAGGUACGAAAGCGUGGGGAGCAAACAGGAUUAGAUACCCUGGUAGUCCACGCCGUAAACGAUGAUAACUAGUUGUUCGGUCACUUGGUGACUGAGUGACGCAGCUAACGCAUUAAGUUAUCCGCCUGGGGAGUACGGUCGCAAGAUUAAAACUCAAAUGAAUUGACGG